CAAUUACUGUGGAUUCAUUAUUAUUCGUUGGAUACCAAUUUUCGUGGGUUUCGUGGGUACAAGUGAACCACGAAUUCAAAUGUUCAACGAAUAUCAUAUUUUCAAUAGGCUUUGUAUACAGAGAUUGGUAAAACCACGAAAUCAAAUAUCCACGAAUUUGCAAGUUUUCAGCAAUCCACGAAAAUUGAUACCAACGAAAACAAAUGAAUCCACAGUAUAGGUUUGAACGUAGUUUUCAAUUUAGACUCGUUUAUAUUUUUUCGUUUAGGCUUGUAUCAUAUUUUCCCUCCGGUUUAUAUGAUCCGUUCAUCCUAUA
rnacentral:lncRNA from 1 species